AUGCCAAUAUCAGCUACAGAUACUCUUAAUGCCUUACAACUUCAAAGUACUUUUAUAUUUAGAUCAGCAUUUCAAUACCGUAUUUUAUAUGAAUACCAAGUUCUCAGAGAUACUUUUCCUUACAGGAAAAUGAAGCAGCACAACUCCCUGGUCCUGCAUUUGAGUGGAUCACCACAUGCCUAAUAGCCACCAUGGGAGAGAGAAGUAGCAGAUCCAGUCCAGUACCAACCACAUCUAGUAAGCUCAUAUCGGCAUGGAAAUUGGAUCAUGGAUAGAUGCUAUACCUGGGACUGCAGGCAUGCUGUUCUGAUGCAGACCACCCUUCACCCUGCUUGCUAACACUUCUAUCUACAACCAAUAGAACCAAUUAAAUAAAAGGUUGGUGAAGGACCCCAGAAAAGAGUAGUACCUGAGAUUGAUGCAUUAGGAGACUUUCUGGAGUCAGGAGAUGCCUAUGGGAAAGGUGAGAAAUGUAAAAAGCAAAGGUCAAACUGUAAUCCCAACUAGCAGGCUAGACAAUUGGGUUGAGAAACUAUCUCAGGAGACAUCAAGAAGGGAUAGAUUGAAAAAAAAAUCCACCAUGAACGUGGAGCUCUAGAAUCCUCAGAGAAACAAUCAUAACUGGUGAAUAUUAUCAUCUAUCUAUUUAACUAACCAUUUAACAUCUCUGGGAAUUGUCCUGACUACUUACAACAAAUGAGUAAGUGUUCAUUAAUGUAACGCUAGUCAGGUAUGUACUACUCUGGUCAGGUACAGCCAAGAAGACAGCUCCCAGUCAAGGAAUAUGAUGUCUCACUUGGAGGGGCAGGACACUAGCAUUUCUCAUUACUCCUAGUUCUAAGUUGCAGAGGCUAAUGUGCUGGUAAGUAUGGUGUAGAAGCUAGGGGUUCUCUUCUCCCACCCAUCUCCAACUUGUAAAGUGGAAGCUCUAACCCAAGUGUGUUAGGCUGAGAAUGUUGGACCUAAUUACUCUUGCCCCAGCUUGCUUGUAGGGUUAGGUAAGCUCAAGAGACCAGAGUAUAGUGCCUGCACCCAGCACCCAGCACCCAGCUAGUAAGCAGGUUGCCAUAUGAGAGAAGCCAGCCAGUGAUUCUACCCUCAACUCCAGGGCUGUGGCUCAGGGAUUCUUAUCAAAUAGGAUAAACACAAAAUGAACUCCAAGUAGGAUAAAAACAAAGGGAUCCAUACCCUGACAAAUGAAGCUAAAAAUGGUGAAAUUCAAAGACAGAAAUUUUGCAAGCCACCAGAGAAAAACGACCCCUUGCAAACAAGGAAGACUUAAUAAACUUAACAGCUGACUUCUCAUCAGAAACAAUGGAGGCCAAAUUGCAGUAAAUGACAUAUUCAAGGCAAAGAAAUAAAAUGUCAACCAAG
rnacentral:lncRNA from 1 species